rnacentral:rRNA from 1 species
UACGAAGGGGGCUAGCGUUGUUCGGAAUCACUGGGCGUAAAGGGCGCGUAGGCGGCCGAUCAAGUCGGGGGUGAAAGCCUGUGGCUCAACCACAGAAUGGCCCUCGAUACUGGACGGCUCGAGACCGGAAGAGGUUGGUGGAAUUGCGAGUGUAGAGGUGAAAUUCGUAGAUAUUCGCAAGAACACCGGUGGCGAAGGCGGCCAACUGGUCCGGAUCUGACGCUGAGGUGCGAAAGCGUGGGGAGCAAACAGG